rnacentral:lncRNA from 1 species
GAGGACUAAGCUUCAGUUUGUUGAUUGAGUGCAAAGCAUCAUGUAUGCAAUAGGAAGGAAAGAUUCUGAAUACAGAAGACUGAACUCCUCCCCACCUCCAACCUACAUCCUUGAAUGCACCGAAGCCUUAUAACCAUGCAGUCUAGGACAAGUCCUGCAGAACAGGUGGCAACUCUGCUUUCAUAGAAUCAUAGGACUAUAAAAAUCUCAAGUUGGAAGGGAUCCCCAAGGAUUGUUGAAUCCAGCUCCUGGCUCCACACAGGA